rnacentral:rRNA from 1 species
UACGGAGGGGACUAGCGUUGUUCGGAAUUACUGGGCGUAAAGCGCACGUAGGCGGAUUUGUAAGUCAGGGGUGAAAUCCCGGGGCUCAACCUCGGAACUGCCUUUGAUACUGCAAAUCUCGAGUCCGGAAGAGGUGAGUGGAAUUCCUGGUGUAGAGGUGAAAUUCGUAGAUAUCGGGAAGAACACCGGUGGCGAAGGCGGCUCGCUGGGCCGUUGCUGACGCUGAUGCGCGAAAGCGUGGGGAGCGAACAGG